rnacentral:rRNA from 1 species
UACAGAGGUGGCAAGCGUUGUCCGGAAUUAUUGGGCGUAAAGAGCUCGUAGGCGGUUCGGCAAGUCGGAUGUGAAAUCUCCACGCUUAACGUGGAGGGGCCAUUCGAAACUGCUGUGACUCGAGUCCGGUAGGGGAGUGUGGAAUUCCCGGUGUAGCGGUGAAAUGCGCAGAUAUCGGGAGGAACACCAGUAGCGAAGGCGGCACUCUGGGCCGGUACUGACGCUGAGGUGCGAAAGCGUGGGGAGCAAACAGG